ensembl:miRNA
ACAUUUGCAUAAGGAUUGAAACUUGUUAUCAGUGGUGCUUUCAGUCAUCAUGCAAAUAUAC